UCUACAGGAGGCAGACCUCCUCCGAGGAAAAGGAGGUGUAUCCUAGAAGAUGAGAAUAUCGGCUAUUCUGUGCCUGGUGACAUCCCUACCUGGAUUCCUGUCCCAGAUGCAGCUUCAGGAGUCAGGACCUGGCCUGGUGAAGCCCUCACAGUCACUAUUCCUCACCUGCUCUGUCACUGGUUUCUCGAUCACCAGUGGUUACUACUGGAUCUGGAUGAGGCAGUCUCCAGGGAAGAACCUAGACUGGAUGGGGUACAUAACUCACAGUGGGGAAACUGUCUACAACCCAUCCCUAAAGAGCUCCAUUUCCAUUACUAGAGAAACAUCCAAAAACCAGUUCUUCCUGCAGCUGAACUCUGUGACCACCGAGGACACAGCCACUUACUAUUGUGCAGGAGACACAGUGAGGAGACUUCAUCAGGAGCCCUGA